GGCACUGUGGCUCAGUGGUAGAGCGCUAGCCUUGAGCUGAAGAGCUGAGGGACAGUGCCU
rnacentral:tRNA from 1 species